rnacentral:pre_miRNA from 1 species
UUGGGUGAAAUUCAUGUGGGUAUCACACAUUGAAAAUAGAUCCCACAUAAAGUGGUGAGACCCACAUGAAUUUCACCCAA